GGCUCGGUGGUGGAUUGUCCACACCUGCAUUCGAUAUCGGUUCGUGGAUUGAAUAUUAAGCAGGAGAAGUCCGUUCGAUUCGGGCCCGGGUCA